GAAACCUUUUUUUCCCUCCCAGUGUGAUUGGCACAAGUUCACUUCGCAGAGCAGCUCAGCUAAGGAAACGAUUCCCUCAACUGGAGUUUGAAAAUAUUAGAGGCAACCUAAGCACCCGUCUGAAGAAGCUAGAUGAAAAGGAAGACUAUGCUGCCAUUAUUCUGGCUGCAGCAGGCCUCAAACGUAUGGGCUGGGAAAGCCAAAUCAGUCAGAUUCUGUACCCUGAAGAUUGC